UACGGAGGGUGCGAGCGUUGUCCGGAAUCACUGGGCGUAAAGGGCGCGUAGGCGGCUUCUCAAGCGUGUGGUGAAAGUCCGGGGCUCAACCCCGGAUCGGCCGUGCGGACUGGGGAGCUCGAGUUCUGUAGAGGCGGGUGGAAUUCCGGGUGUAGCGGUGAAAUGCGCAGAUAUCAGGAGGAACACCGGUGGCGAAGGCGGGUCUCUGGGCCGAUACUGACGCUGAGGAGCGAAAGCGUGGGGAGCGAACAGG
rnacentral:rRNA from 1 species